rnacentral:rRNA from 1 species
GACGAACGCUGGCGGCGUGCCUAAUACAUGCAAGUCGAGCGGAACUGGGGGAGCUUGCUCCUUCCAGUUUAGCGGCGGACGGGUGAGUAACACGUGGGCAACCUGCCCUGCAGAUCGGGAUAACUCCGGGAAACCGGUGCUAAUACCGAAUAGUUUGGCGCCUCUCCUGAGGCGCUACGGAAAGACGGUUUCGGCUGUUACUGCCGGAUGGGCCCGCGGCGCAUUAGCUAGUUGGUGGGGUAACGGCCCACCAAGGCGACGAUGCGUAGCCGACCUGAGAGGGUGACCGGCCACACUGGGACUGAGACACGGCCCAGACUCCUACGGGAGGCAGCAGUAGGGAAUCUUCCGCAAUGGACGCAAGUCUGACGGAGCAACGCCGCGUGAGUGACGAAGGUUUUCGGAUCGUAAAACUCUGUUGUGAGGGAAGAACACGUACCAACUAACUAUUGGUACCUUGACGGUACCUCGCCAGAAAGCCACGGCUAACUACGUGCCAGCCGCCGCGGUAA